GGAUGGGACUCCAGGUCUAAAGACUCAGGAUCUCAAGCCCCUCCCUGAUCUCAAGCCCCUCCCUUCCCCUCUUCCCUCUGCAUCUGUUUCUGUUUCUGCACCCGAGAGGUCAUCACCACAAAAGACCACGUGCUCUGUCAUCUUCCUCCAGUUCUGCCUCUUAAGACUUUUGGAGUUUUCUCCCUCAGUACCAUGCAAAAUCUUUUCCAGCGGUCCUUUGGUUAACUCAGCUGUGGAUACCGUCCCUGGGCAGAUCCAGUGCCUGGAGAGGGCAUGCAGAAUGCAUCUAUUUCGGAGCACCAGUGGGUCGACCUUAAGAUAGCUUCAUACUUACCAAGCCAUGAAGAAUUCUGGAUGCAACAGGACCCAGAGGACCCAGUGUGGAGACCACCAGGGUUCUUGGACCCUUUGCCUUUUACUGCUCGUAUGGGGACCUGAAAGCAGUUUCCCCUUUCAGUGUUCUCCCUCUCCCAGAAGUCUCUUUAAUUCAGUGCCAGCUUGCUCUAGUUUGGCCUCAUGCACCUUGUCGUCCAGGAGCCGUUUGCAUGAGAGUCUGUUGCCUCACGAGCUAACGGACAGGUGGCUGGGAUGAUACACUUGGACCACUCUUUCUUUCCCUUUAAAUGGAAAAUGCUUCAUUUGUAAUGGAGCUCCAGGUUAAUAAAAACAGACAAACAAAACCCUGGCAGUUUCUGUCACUCCUCAGUGAUCUUCAGGAAAGUCUAGAAUGUUACUGAAGAAGACUGAGGCUGUAUGGUGGCCUCUCUCCAGCGCUGCUCUCGCUGGCUGACCUGUUCUCUUUAUUACGAAGGUCAGCCGUUUAAUUAGGUUUUAACUUUGCACUUCCUUCAUACAUUUUCAUAUAAACUACAUACGACCCAAGAAGUCAGACCACGCUGUAGUUUUAGAUGCUUUUCUUACUCGUGUUUUUUGUGGAGACUGUCCAUGGUGACCCAGGGACAUCAGUGAUCCUGGGGUUGAAGUUCUUGGUCUUCAUUGUCAGCAUUUUGCUGACAGAUAUAACUCUGCCUUCCCUAGUCAUCGUGGUUUUAUAUAAACAAGCCACUCGGUUUCCAG
rnacentral:lncRNA from 1 species